rnacentral:rRNA from 1 species
UAACGUCCCAGUUCGGAUUGCAGUCUGCAACUCGACUGCAUGAAGCUGGAAUCGCUAGUAAUCGCGAAUCAGAAUGUCGCGGUGAAUACGUUCCCGGGUCUUGUACACACCGCCCGUCACACCAUGGGAGUUGGUAACGCCCGAAGUCAGUGCCCCAACCUUAGGGAGGGAGCUGCCGAAGGCGGGACCGAUAACUGGGGUGAAGUCGUAACAAGGUAAC